rnacentral:lncRNA from 1 species
AGCCGUCGGUUUCGACACAGCGGCUCUGAUCCACGGGCGGAUACAAUUCUUUGUAAUGUGGCGCCCAGUAAAUGAUGUAGUCGGGACCCUCUCUUUGUUGCGGAGUAGCGGCGGAUGAGGUGGCGUGAGGCGAAGAGCCUCCAUUGGUUUUAAAUUUUUGAAAAUUUAAAGAAAAAAAAUAGAAAAACCAAUGAGAAAACGUUGUGGUGAAAAGAAAAUACGCUUUCUGACUCUAAGACGUCGGGCGGCUUUUGGAGGGGACCUUAUAGUUUAUAAAGACAAAGGAGGGAGGGUAAAUGGUUUUUCAUUUGGCGCAAUUUUUGGAGUGAACAAAUGGAGGCUAUGAAAGAUUGACACCUGGUGAAAAUGACGUAAGCAUGUCAGUGUACCUGACGGGUUUCGUUCACUGCGGGUGACGGAUGGUAAGUGUUCUAUUUUAAAAUGCACAAGGAAGGAGUGUGCUCCGUUGACUCGAAACUCAAUACCGUGAGACAACAGACCAGACACGCUGUGUGGAAAGAAAGAUGGAGCGAGUUUCAUUCAAUUUCAAGUACGUUUUCCGUUGAAAUUUCCUUUUUAUUUUUUAUUUUAAGAGAAGAAAAUUCACACCCUUCCAAUAGGUAUUGUUGAGUCUCAAAUGUGAAAUUUUCAUAUUUGUUAGGAUGCAUUUCAAUGUAAAAAGAAAAAAAAGCUAACAAAUAUAUUUUUAAUUUCAUGAUAUAAAAAAUGAAACACUUUAUCUGUAAUUAUAUAAUCAUAAUUUAAAUUUAUUUAAAAUUUAUUGCUUAUAAAUAUAGCACUGAGGAUUUUACGUAAUAUUUUAUGAUUAAUUAAUUUUAUGACAUUAAUUUCAUAUAAUAUUCUAAAAAAAGAGAAAAACAUUGUUUCAAGGUGACAAUCAAUGUCAUGAAAUACAAUGUUAAAAAUGGAUUUUUGUUAUUUGUCUUGGGUUGUUUCUGUUAGCUUAUUAGAAUUAUUGAUUGUUAUGUCAUGGGAAAAUGACUACAAAGUUAGGCCAAAUUAACAAAGACUAUUGUCAAAGUUUAAUUAUAUAAAAUUAAGGCCAAACAAAGAUUAGCUCAAUCUAUGCCUAAGAUUAAAAAUCUUUCAUUAGUGGCUGAGAAAAUAUGAAACAUUACUCGAACACUACUAAAUCAUCAUCUUAAUCAAGAGAGGACAUUCUAAAAUCUUUACUAUAAAAUUAGGCCAACGAGUAUUGUCAAAUCUUAAUUAUAUAAAAUUAAGACCAAACAAAGAUUAGCUCAAUCUAUGCCUAAACUUAAAAAUCUAUAAAAUUUCAUUAGUGGCUAAGAAAUUACGAACGUUCCUCGAACACUAAUAAAUCGUCAUCUUAAUCUGAAAAAUGACAUACUAAAAUCUUUACUACAAAGUUAGGCCAAAUUAAGAAAGAUUAUCGUCAAAGCUUAAUUAUAUAAAAUUAAGGCUAAACAAACAAUGAUUAGCUCAAUCCCCACCUAAGCCUAAAAUAUCUAGAAAUUUUCAUUAGUGGCUAAAACUUAAUAAAUGUUACUCGAACACUACUAAAUCAUCGUCUUAAACUAAAAAGAGACACUCUAAAAUUCUUAAAUUUAGGUGAAUUUCGAUUAAUGUUUUGUUAAUUUAUUACUUGUUUAUAAUACAAUAAUAAUUAUAUCAUAUCCGUUGAAUAAUGCUCAUUAAAUUGUAUAAUUUGUAUUCGUAUAACUAAUGUUGUAAAAAAGUAAACAUUGUUUGUCAUUAAUUAAUACUAAUUAUGCUGUGGACUAAUGCUUGACUUCAUCGCCUUAGAUACGGUGUUGUGAAUUUAAGUCAUUUUAAAUUAGGGAAUGGUCAUGUGGGUUUAAGUCAUUUUAAAUUAGGGAAAUAGAAGGAAGGUGGAUAAGUAUGUGCAUGUGAAUUAAAGUCAUCAGUUUUGUACAAAAAAUAUUGUAAAAAUUCUUACUUAACACAAAAGAGGUGGCCAUAUGCUAAAAAAGUAAUUAAGGAUAUAAAUAGUAGUAUAAUCGAUUGAAUUUGAAUCGAUAUAGUAUUAAAUUUGAGUUUGAAUUUUACUUUAAAUUUGAGAUUUAAAAUUCGAUUUGAAUUCGAUUAAAUUUUAUUUUUUUAGUUAAAGUUCAAUUCGAAAUAAAAAUUAAGUCAUUGAGCUCGCUUGAUUAACAUGUAAAAAUAAAUUUUAUUUUAUAUUUGAUAAAAAUUCGAUUAUUUAUGUUCAAACUAAAAUUCGAAUUCGAGAUAUUUUAUUAAUUAAAAUAAUUAAAUAUAUUAUAAUAUAAAAACUCAAUUAAACUUUUAAGUAAUUCGAAUCGAAUAUAAAAAUGUUUGAAUUCGAUUUAAUCGAUAAAUCAAAUUAUUCGAAUUCAAGUUUGAUUCAAUAAUAAUCGAAUUAAAUUUAAAUUUUAUUUUAAUUGAAUCUAAAUAACUUACAAGUACUAAUAUAUUAUUUAUACUCUUAAAUAUAAAUACAGGUCUUAUUAAAAAGUUUUAAGUUAAAAAAUUGAUGGUGAAUUCUCCUAGUCAUAACCAAAAUAAUCAUGUUUCAUGUUGGAAUUUGAAAUUCCCUUUUCAUAUAUACAUCAUUUAAUAAAUGCUUUGGCCACUCACUCAUAUGCUUUUUCCUAUCUAAAUAAAAAUAAUAUUUUAUUAAAAUUUAAAAUUACAUUAUUUUAUAAAAAGUUAUCUCCUUUGCAGAUAAUGAAGUUUUUAAAUUCUAAAAAUAUGAAGAUCACACAUAUAUAUAUAUAUAUAAAUUAAAAAUAUAUAUAUGAUAAUUUUUAAUCUUAUUUAUAAAAUAAAAAAAUUAUACUGUUAGCGUACUCUUAUUUUAUUAUUGAGUACAUAUAUAACAAAUUAAUCAACCAUACACCAAAAGUUGGUAGACCUAAUUAUCAACCAACCAAUGUUUUCACAUAAUUACAUAAUUAAAGUUUCAGUAUAACCCUUAAUGCUUUUCUUUUUUUUUCUAGGAUAAUAUUUUUAUAGGCACCUGGCAGAAUAUAAUUGUCAUUGUCUUUGGAAUAAUUUUAAUAAAUAAAAAAUUCGAAUGAACGGCCUAAUACAUAAAUAUAUUAACUAUAUGUGUACGUAUCGGACUGGACAAUCAUGUUGUAAUAAAUAAAUAAAAUAAAUAAGAGUACGAGAUUCAAUUAAGGAGGCAAGAACCUAAAUGAAAAAAAAGAACUGGAUUGAUGCUGCCUUUCUUUCACCCAACAUCUUGAUUGUGGAAAAAAAUUUAAAAGUAAAAAUGUUUAAAAAUUGUUUUGUUAACAUAAAAUUUUUCAUAUAUAUAUUUUUUUGUUCACAUGCGUAUUUAGAAAAUUAUUUAUUUUUUAAAAAAAAUUCAGUCCAAAGAAAAAUUAGUUUCGAAUCUCACUGGAGUUUUGGACUUCUGGGGUCUCAAAAAGAGUUGUUGGCGUUAGAUAGUUUUGUUCAUUUAUUUAAUGUGCCAAGACUCUUGAUUAAAACAAAAAAAUAAAUAAUUUUUUGUCUAAUUCUAUUGAAAUGUUUUAUUAUAAAAAUUUAAAUGAAAGCAAGUUAUUUCAUUUCAAAUCAAAGCAUAUUAUAAAUUUAAAGAAAAUUUACAUUAAUUUUAUUAAUCAUUCAUAAAAAAUCGUUUGCAAUGAAAAGUUAAAAAUCAAAUAUAAAUCUUAUGAACAAAACAUUCCGUUUUUAUCUAUUUAACCAACAUCCUUUAAACUAAUUUUAUUAAAUUGUUAUUAAAGAUUUCUGUACGUUACAUGCAUUAGGUAAAGGAAAAGGACCAGUAGAACAUUUAUAAAAAAGAAACUUGUUAAAGAUGCUUUUUUUUUUAUUGUACAAAUUAUAUACUAGCUUAAAUAUAUUUUUACAGAAAUUAUUAAUUAUAUUAACAGUUGAAAUUUUUAAUUUUAUAAGUGAAUUUAAGAUAAUGAUAUAUAUUUUUUAAUGUAUAUUUAAAACAUUAAAAAAUUUUAAUUAAAAAAAAUAUGUAUUAUUAUUUUAAUUUCAUUUAUAAAAUUAAAAAAUUUUAUGUUAAUAUAUCAAAUAAAUGGUUAGAGGGUUGUGAGAAUGUAAUUUUUUAUGAAUAUUUUAGAUUCAGUAUAAAUAAAUUUUAAGACAAAUGAAUAACUUGGAUAAAUUAAUAAAAUUAAUUUAUAUAAAAUCUUGGGGUUGAAAAUUUGGUAUGGUGAUAAAUAAUGGGAAGAAAAAAAAAGAAAAAAAGAAACAAAUUUAGUUUCUUUUUUUUUUUUAAUAAAAACUCGUUUAAGGAAAUGAUAAGUAUAAAAAAAUAAAUAAAUAAUGGGAUAAAAGGUUCCAGAUGAUCCAUUGGACCCUUAAAGCUCCAGCCCUUAGCUGGUGGUUAGUGUGGUCCACAGACCCAAACACAACACAACUGAUGUUACCCAAACAUUAGUAAUGGUGAGAUUGGUAAAAAAAUGUGGCCUAAAAUCACCGUACGGGUCCAAUCAAACCAAUGAGGCCUAAUGUUCUAGCUAUUUUGAUUAACUGCUUGUCUUUUGGGUUUUAAGGAAAAGAUUUUGACCAACGUGUUUAAAUAUAAUUUUACUAUAAUAAAAUCUUGUAUAUGAUUUUUUAAAUUCAAAAUUAAUUUGACAUGACUAAAAUUAUUAUUAUAUUAAUAAAUAAUAUAUUUAUUUAAUUUUAUUUAAAAUAUUAAAAUAUUAAUAUUAAAAGUUUUUUAAUAUUUUUAUAAUUCUAUUCAAAUAAGAUUUUGAACAUGAUAGCUUAAGUUUGAGUUUGAUUUGAUUCAACUUGAAAUAUCAUUAUAUUAAUAAAAUAUUUUAUUUAAGUUUAAUUAAAAAGUUAAUAUAUUAACAUUAAAAGUCUUUUGAUAUUUUGAUUUUAAAUAUUUUUUGUAUAUUAUUAAAUAUAAAUAUUUUAAUAUUUCAAUAAUAAACAAUAUUCUAUUAUUAUAUUAAUAAUAAACAAUAACAUAUUUAACAAUAUUUUUAUUAUUCUAAUAAUUAAUAUUAAAUAAUAUAAUAAUAUUAUUUUAGUAAUAUGAAUAUUUUUAGUAAUUUCUUAAUUUUUUAGUUUAAAAUAUAUUAUUUAUAUUUUAUCUAUUAAGGUAUUUAUAUUACUAUUUUAACAAUAAAUAUAAAAAAAGAAUUGUUUUUGUUAAGAUUUAAUAAUAAAUACUUUUAAAAUAAAAAAUAAAUAUUUUAAUACUAUAAAUAUUUUGAUAUUUUAAAAAUAAAUAUUACUAUUUUAAUAUUAUAAUAAUUAUAAAAAUAAUAUUUUAAGAAUAGUAAUAUUAUUUUAAAUAUUUUAAUUUGUUAAUAUAAAGAAUAAUAAAUAGUUUUUUAUCUGUUUUUUAUAUUAGUAUAAUAUUUUAAUUUUAAAUAUUAAUAAAAUAUAAUUAUUUUUAAUAUUAAUAAUUUUAAUAGUAAAUAAUUUCAAAAUACUUUAAUAAUAGAUAAUUCUAAUAUUUAUGUCAAUAUUAUUUUUUUAAAAUUAAAAUUUUAAAAAAAUCAGAUAACAAAAAAUAUUUUCAUUGACUCAUGACUCAUCCAAAUAAUAGAUAAUAUAACUUUUUCCAAAAAUAUAAACAUUUUCUAUAAAAUAUUUUUUGAAAGUUAAUUUCCGUAAAACAAGCGAACCUUUUUGUUUAUUUUGGCAAUAAAAAAUAAAACAAACAAAAAAAAUGAAUAUACAAAACUAAAAACAAAAUAAUAAAAGUAAAAGCAUUUAUUAAAUGAGCUUGUUAUAAAAUUGUUUUUUAUCACCUAGUUUGUACCAUUUAUGAGUAGUCCAUUAACUAGGUUUGACAAUUUGUAUUCUCAUAUUGUGUUUCAUGCCAUAUUGAGAAGUGUAAUGAUAUGAAUUAUUGAAAUAUAAAUAUAAUAUGAAUUAUAAAAUAUAUUUAAAUUUUGAACACGACAUGUUUAUUAUACGUAUUACAUGCGACAUGAUAUAAUUAACAUAUGUAUAAUUAAUUUAUUUACACAUGAUAAAAAUAAAUACGAAUAACACGAAUAUAUAUGAAUAGAUAUGACUAAUAUGUAUAUAUACGAAUAAACACGACUAACUUGAAUAUAUAUAAAAAUAUGACUAAAAUAAUAAAUAAUUAUAAAUUAUCAAUCAAUUACAACUUAAUAAAUUUGAUGUACUACUUGCAUAUUAAAAAUAAUAAAAAAAUUAAAUACCCAUUUAAUAUGUACUUAAUAUAUAUAUUUAAAUUUUAAUAUAUAUUACAUAACUAUAAUAAUUUUUAGUAUUAAAUUCAAAAUGAUAAAUUAUUGAAGAUUAAAAAAUAAAAUAAUGAUGUAUAAGACUAGUAUUAAUAUUUAUAUUUUAUUUAUAUUAUUAAUAUAAAAAUAAUUUUAUAAUAAUUAUUAAAUAAGUAUCAUAAUGCAAGGUUUAAAAUAAUCUUUAUAUGCUAUUGAAAAACUAAUUAAGUAUCGUAAUUAAAAAAUUAAAAAUUAAAAUAAUUUUUAUGUGUUUAUAUUAAAUUAAAGUACAUAUAAAAAAUAUUUUAAAUACGGACUCAUAUGACAAAAAUAAAUUAAAUAUAUUUUUUGUGUCAGAAUACAUGUUAACAUGUAUCCGUAUGAUAUAUUUUAUCUAAACGCGACUUUCGUGUCUUACACAUUUAGAUUUAUCGAUAAAUAUUUAGAUGUAUUAAUACAUAUACCAUAUAAAUUAUAUCAUAUGAAAAUUUAUAUCAAUACAAAUAAAUAUAAAACAUAUUUUUUUAAAAUAUGUAUAUAUUAUUUUUUAUAUUAAUUUUAUAUCAUAUCAUCAUAUUAUAUAUGAAAUUAUCAGAUCUAUCAAUAUCUGAAAUGUCUUGCAAAAUAUAUGAUUUCAUAUUUUUGGAACAGUAUACAGCAAGCAUAGUAUCAGAGUAACCUCCAUAUGUAGUAGUUCCAACAAAAGUGCUUUGCCACUAAUUUUCAAGAUUCUUAGUGCAGUCACCGCAGGAGUGACAUGACUCAACCAUGCAACUUUAUCUUCAAUUUUGAUUUUUUUAACUUAUAGAAUAAAACCAGCAAAAUUAUAAUAUUCAAAAUUUAAAUUUAUUAAAUAUUAUUUUCUUAUAAAUAAUUAUAUAACUAAAAUUAAAUAUCACCUCUGUCACUGAACCAACAAUCUCAUGAGAUUGUUGAGAGUUGUUUAUAAUCUAUUAACCUACGCUUAAUUUAAUAAAUAGUGCGUGGACACUUGGACAGGCAACGUUGAUUUUAUACUGCAGGCUCCCAGGCUCCUCUGGCAAAACAGUUGCAAGCACUGCCUCCUGUUGUCUACCCACAUUAGCCAGUUCGGUAACCACUCUAAGCUUAUCAAAAUUCAUGUUUGCACCGCUAGUUAUUGCUACAACAUUCUUUCCCUUAAGGCUGUAAUAUUUGCAAUAUGCUUCAGCUCCCGCAAGGGCUAGGGCACCUGCUGGUUCCAGAAUGCUCCUCUUCUCUUCAAACAUGUCCUGCAACACAAGCAGUACAGCUGUAAAUCCUAAGCAUUCAAACAACCAUGUGUUAAUUAGAUGAAGGCCAUCAGUUAUCCAACAAAAACCAAUAGCACUAGUCAUACUGGAGAGACAACAUUAGACACGAGGAGAGAGAAAAAAUCAUAAGAAGGGCUUCUAACAUCCAUAAGGUUAAGAAUAAAUAAUUAGAGAACAAAUGGUGAUGGGGACAGGCCACACUCUUUCCCGAAAUGGGAAAUAGAACACCAUAAAACUGCAUAAAAAAUUCAAGUUAAACACCCAAUUUGUGAGCAAAACUAACCAGAAGUGAACUACCUUCAUAUGAAGAACCAAAGGCACAUUCCAAUUCCUAAAAUACUACAUCUAGAAUCCAAGUUAAAUCAAAGGUACAAUAUAUUUGAGCUAGAAAUUUGACACUUUGUUUCAAAUUACAAUUUUAGGUAUUUCAAGCCAGCAUUUCAGUUGUUUGCUCAAUUCACAACUGUAUCAUACAAGGACAGAAACGAAUAACUAAAAUAAAGAUUGACAACCUUAAGCUGUAUGUUAAGAGGCACAAAUGGCUCAAUGCAAAGAAGCCAUACCUUUAUAGAGGCACAAAUAGCAUCAUGGUUUACAAGAACGACACCAUCCACCAAUUUCCUACAUAAGCGAAAGGUUUCUUCACCGACUUCCUUAACAGCUACUCCAUCUGCAAAGCCCCCAACCUGGUCCAACAUCACUCUUUCGCCAUGAUGAAGCGACAAUGCCAUUGCAUUUGCAUCAAAAGGCUCCACUCCAAUAAUCUUCACCUGUAUAGUAAUACAACACUAAGUGAUGUGGAUGAAUUACGUCAUGCAGCAAGGAACAAGCACAUUCAAUGUAAUUUCAAACAAGAUAUAGUAUAUGUUUAUAUGAAGGACCCACAUACCCUCGGGGAAACCCUCUUAACAUAAGCAGCAAUGCCAGCUACAAGCCCACCACCACCAAUAGGUACAAAGAUUGCAUGCAAUGGGCCUGGCAUUUGGCGCACAAUCUCCAUCCCAACAGUGCCUUGUCCCAUGAUAACAUCUGGAUGGUCAAAAGGGGGAAUAAAUGUUCGACCUUCCUCUUUAGCCCGUUUUUUAGCAUAUGUUUGUGCCUCAUUAUAAGAAUCUCCAACGAGAACAACAGUUGCGCCCAACCUCUCAACAGAAUGCCACUGCAAAACAAGAAACCAAACAUUCAAAUUAAGAAACCUUAUGUGCUAUGCAAUUGAUACAAAAAACAUCACAAAAUAGCACCUUAAUUUCUGGUGUGGUAACAGGCAUAGCAAUAACAGCAUUGCAACCGAGUCUCUUGGCAGCCAAUGCGACCCCUUGGGCAUGAUUUCCUGCUGAUGAGCAAAUAACCCCUCUUUCUAACUGUCCCUUCGGAAGCUUUGCCAUCAUAUUAUAAGCUCCACGAAGCUUAAAAGAGAAAACCUGAAAAUAUGAAACAUCAAAUCUGUAAGCACUUUAUCUGAAUAUGAAAAACAAUAUUGAACUACAAAAAGAAAAGAUUUCCGCUUUGGCAAUUCAUUAACAGAUUAUAAAAACAAAGACUAAAUUCAACUAAAAAAACAUGUGAAUAUUUACUCAUAACAUCAAUGCAUCUCAGAGCACAUAAAUAAAAAACAAAUAGGGUUUAAUCCAAGCUAAAAAAAAACCAGUCCGUUAAGCUUAAAAUAAGUAAAGCAAAAUCAUAGAAUAUAAACAGUAUUAACUCCCAACACCUCACCAAUCAUAGAAACAAAUAUCAUUAGAAAUGAAAACCCAAAAACCUAAAAGAAAAAAAAAAUAACAAGAAGAUAUUUCGCCAAAUACAAAUUAAAAACCAAAAACUAGAACCUCAAUGGUUGCAAUUUUUAAAUGGAAAAAAGAACCCAAAUCAUGAAAUAAUCCCCCGAAAAAAAAAUCAAUCUUUCAAAAAAAUGAAAACUUUUCUUACAGGCUGUAAAUCUUCUCUCUUAAGCCAAACUUGAUUACCCAAUCGUUCAGACAACUUAGUCGCCAACUGUAACGGUGACUCUAUCGCCACAUCAUAAACCUUCGACGACAAAAUAUUCGUUAAAUACUCCAUCGCAUUUACUACGUCGCCGUUUCCUUCAUCCAUUGAACGUUCCGGUACCGCGCCUAAGUAACCUGACGGAUACCGCAGGGAAUUAGCAGACACCUUCUUCGGCGGCGCAGAAGGAACCACAGCAGAAGUUGACGACGACGAAACGAAGCGUUAUCGAGAGAAGUAACGGUCGGAGAAGAGAUAUCAGCCAUCGGUUUCGACACAGCGGCUCUGAUCCACGGGCGGAUACAUUUCUUUGUAAUGUGGCGCGCAGUAAAUGAUGUAGUUGGGACCCUCUCUUUGUGGCGGAGUAGCGGCGGAUGAGGUGGCGUGAGGCGAAGAGCCUCCAUUGGUUUUAAAUUUUUGAAAAUUUAAAGAAAAAAAAUAGAAAAACCAAAGAGAAAACGUGGUGGUGAAAAGAAAAUACGCUUUCUAACUCUAAGACGUC